GAUCACAUCAUCCUACUCACGCGGAUCCGUUAUAAUCUAUGGUAUACUGGGAUAUGUGACCCUCUCCGGUACAGUUGGAGAUACCUCGACAGCAGGGGCUGGAACACUCGAUCCCGGCUCAGCAUCAUAACUAGUCAUCUCGGGAGUACUCGGCUCACCAACUCGACGAUACUAAAACUUGUAACGUCUCGAUGACGGACUCAAAAUCCACCCACCCUCAACAAACGACCAAGCCCUCGUCUCGGCAUCUACAUCAAAGAAAAAUGGUAAGUCUUAAUUUUCCAACUACUUAAUAUUUUGCAAAUGAUCAUAUACUAGUUUCCUAACAGGUUUUGUGACACAUUUACUCGAUAAAACGAUAAAAAUAUGAUUUUUCCAUGAGAAUAAAUAAACCAUGGGCUGAUACCACAUAAUCGCUUGAUAUGGAAGGUAUUUCUCAGUAACACCACGAACUUAAUUGUAACCCGAGUUUUUGGUAAGUUGAAUUGUGUAGAGUUUGAUGAUUUUAAAAGUUGAGAGAGAAUUUAAAAGUUUCAAAGAUUACUAUGGAAUAUGGAUUGUCUAUCAAUGAUUUUUAUGAAUUCUAGUAAAAUUUUUGGGAACUCUUAUCAACAUUUUCCUUCAAUUUUAUUUUAUGCUCUUAUGGACAUUUCUUUAAGUAAUGUCUUUUCCAAAGAAAGUUUGUAAGAACAUCGCAACUUUCUUAGUUCGUCCGUUCUCUAUCAUCUACCAAUAGCUCCCUUCAUAUUAUUAGAGCUUGGGGAUUCAUUUACUUGAUCUGUAUCCUUGCAAACAGCAACUGAAGAAAAAAAAAUCAAUUGGAACGAAACAAAAAUUAUAGAAAACAAUAGCUCUAUCUAUGUAAUUGGGAGGGAAAACGGUCUAUUUCCCCACGAGAACUAUGACAUCAUAACAGAUAGAGCCCAAUCUAUGACUACGAUCUAAAUAUCCCCGAGAAAAUACUUCUCAACCUAUAUCUCCUCGAAUCGAUAGUUCUCAUCUAUUUCUCCAUAAUUUUGGAUUUACUCGGUUUACGACCUAAACCGACAUCAAACCACCCCAAAACCAACAUUAAACCGAAUUAAUGAAAUCAAUCAACCAUGUUGCUGGAAUUGACAAUCGAGAGCUUACAGAUGUAGCUGAGUAAUUUUGAAAGCUAAUGGCAAAGGAGGAAACCACCGGAAAUUACAUCUGACAUUUCGUCGAGAAAUAGACACGACUCAUGUUUUGGGCGUAGGAAUUGAAAGCGUCUGGUCGAGAGGACGUUUUUGCUCUUGGACGAAUGGGGAUCUCGCAAAGGCAGAGGAUUCCUCAGACUCGUCGGAAGAAAUCUCCGGAAAUUGAAGAGAUUCUGGUCGGAUUCACAUCGGAGUUCACGGUUCACCAUCGAAGUAGAGAGGAAGGUUUCGGCUUUUAGGUGGAGAAAUUGAGAGAAUAAUUGAGAGAAGCUAUGACUACCAAAGAGGGUCAGUGGGGAAGCCAUCGCUGGAGAAUGCCAGCUGAGAUAAAAAAAAUUUGCAUCUCUUGAAAUCGCGAUCGAGAGAGGCAGAGAGGAUUACAAGGUUCGAUAGCUUUCGGUUCGCCUGUGGAGGUUGCGGCUCGGUUUCGCCGGAGUUUCAGAGGGGUCGCCGGAAUUUGACUCUGUCUCCAUUGGUGUUAUAAGAGUUGUCAUCGAUAAACCCUAGUAGAAAAAAUAAGAGAUGUCUUCUUCUCCUCUAUUCGAGAGCAGCAAAAUCAACUUUUUUAUUCAACUCUUUCACCACGAACCACAAUUGCAUUGAGAAUUUCUCUUUGGGAGAUCAUUAGUAAUCUUAGAACUUUUGACAUCCAAAUUUUUUCAAAACUUUGCUAGUUUCCUCUCACUUUUAUGUUCAUUUUCAAGGAAUUAGAGACCUUUCUCUAAUUAAUGAUUUCUAAUAGUUUAGGGUAGACCUUUCUCUAAAUCGCAAAAGAAAAUGUUGUGACCGCGAAAGUAAUUCGUAUGCCUCAUAAAUAGUUUGAUAUUACAAGAGAGUAUUGGCAUACAAAAGAGUACCAAGCAAGAAUAUGGCCAACAACAAACAAACAAAUGGAGAGAUUCUUAUUGGGGAAUACUCAAUACACGCACUGGUAAAAUGCAGAGCGACAGAAACAGGGAAUGUAAAACCAACGAUUGUACAUGAGUGAUUAAGAAACCAAACAACCAGACUCAGAUUUCACAUUUGUUUAUGUGUUUUUGACUUCUUACCAGACUCAGAACAUGUAGACGACACUGUCGUGGAUCCUGGACUUCUGGUUCUGUGCAACACAUUCAGAUAUCCACAUCAGGUUCCUGAUUUCCUGCUCUCUCAACCUC
rnacentral:lncRNA from 1 species